CUACAAGUUUACUCUGAUUUUGAUGAAUUAUUUUCUGCAAUCGAAGCUUUUUUGACCUAAAAUUCAUGGUCCCUGAAGAAUAUAGUACUAAAUUUGAUGGAUCUUCUAUUUUGAAGGAGACUGACAUUGGGAGGCACGUGAAUCGGUUGCAGAAGCAUUCCUCCAAUGACGUUCGUAGAUUGGUGAAGCUACUUGUGAGUGUACUUGAUUGAGCUGUUUUAUUUGCAAGAAGUGGAAGGAAAUUGUGGAUGAAUGGGUGAGGUUGAAUCAACCAGGUGGAACAGCUUUUCUCAUGGACAGGGCUUAUGGAAAAAUCGCUGAUUGAGUUCCAGUCUAAAAAAGGAGAUGUUCUUCCUGCACACAAGAAUCAGAGCCAGUGCUUAGUAGAUCUAUGUGGCGCAUUGCACUGUGACAUUGAAAUCAAUUUUGGGUUGAAAAAAUCAAAAUGUAAUCCUGCUGCUGCUGCAAGAAAUAAACAUCUGUGCGAGAGCUUAGCAGAUAGUUGUUUUCCUGUUAAUGACGGUUCUGCAGCAAGCCGACUCCAUGAAUUCUUCUUGCAACAAUUCUGUGAUGCACACAGCUGCACUGGAAGCAGGAAACCUUUCUCCAGAGGCCGCCGGAGGGAUGAAAAGGGAAACUCAACUGUUGAGGCGCAUCUUUCAAACUGGCAGAAAGAAAAACCAUCUUAAUGGAUAGAUCUGUCGCCUUUGGAAGUUCUCGCUUCUCCAACACUUUCAGAAUCCAUAGAAGUUUACUAAUCUGUGACAGUGGUUACUGCACUCCCAAUUCGGCCAUAGGCGAGUGCAGUUGGAGGAGAAGAGCGAGAAAGACCGCCAAAUCUGCUCCUCAUUUUACAUGUUUUUUGUAAGCCAAUUUCUUUACGGAGACUUAGCAAACACAAAUUUGAGCUGCAGGAUUGAAUUCGCCCUUGGUGGCUUUUGUAUUUGAUUCUAACUGACAUUACUAACAAGAAAAAUUAUACCUUAUCAUCGUGUUCUUUUUGUUUGUUGAAACUUGAUCAGGAUCUAUUUAUAAACUUUUUCAUUGUGUAGCAUCAGUGUAAACUCCUUUUGUAAUGCCUUGCAUUGAAGCUUGGUUCCCCUGAUAAAGGAUGCAGCCCUUUUGGCAAAUAUGCAAACAUUCCCUCCCAGCAAUGCAGGAGGAAGAAGAGGACAAGUAUAUCAACCUAUUACAGCUCAAACUGCUGGUAUGUCAAACUUAUCUAUCAUACUUCUUUACAACCAAAUAUGAGAUGCAUGUUUCUAUUUGUAGCUCUUGUUUUCUGGUGUUAUAUUCUUGACAAUUGACAUGCUACAUACCUUGGUAUGUCUUCAGUAUUUUGUUGUCAACGGAUGGAUUAUAUCAAAGGAGAAAAGGUAAACCUCAAUCUUGUCUCUAAACAAAAAUAUAGACAUCAAAUUAGUUCCUCGGGAUUUGAAAGUAACAAAUUUGUCCUUCAUCAUUCAGUUUUUUAUGCUAGGAUUAAUCUGUUACCCUUUUUCUAAAUUGUGAGGGAAUUUGUCAUUUCUAAAUCUGUCACUCUUCCAUGUGUUUGGCCAAGGAUGAGAUUGGGAGUCUAAAAAGUUAGGGUGAACUUCAGCAUAUGGCUCCCAACUAAUUAACCUUGUUUCUAGAUUCUAAGCAAUCUUCUGUUGUAUCGGUUGACCUAGAGAAGAUUCAUACUACUGAUUUAUGCUGCAGUCAGAUACAAGACUGAUUCCAAUUCUGUAUUUUUAUUGCAACUUAAUUUAUAAUAGUGCCAUUCAUUCCUGUCCAAAAAAAAUGACGUUCAUUGAUCUUUAAUUUGUUGAUCAGUGCAGGGAGUUUUUAGUGUCUCAUCUUACUCAUAGUAUUUCAAUGUGGAGACGGAUGUUGUUGUUGAUAGAAUAAUAUGUUCCUUGAAUCCAGUCCGUGAUGAUUUUUUCAGCAAGAUAGAUGCUAACCCUGAUUUAACUACAACACCACCUCUUCCUUUCUCGCUUCUUUGCAAAUUCUUCUUCCUUGUCCUUGUUGGUAUAACUAUGAUGCAGAAUUGUGUUUUCACUGGCAUAAGCUACAACUCUCACACUCUUGGAUCAGCUAUGAGCAACUUGACUCUGACAAUUACUUUUUUGUUGGCUAUCAUCUUCAGCCAAGAAGUGUAUCCCUUUUCUAAUUGCAUUAAGAGAUAUAAAGCAACACGACAUUACUCAAAGCAUGUGCGGGAUACUGGUUGAUUGGCUUGUAGAGAUUUGCAUAAUGUAAUUUUUCUCAUAUAAUACAAUGUUAUGAAUUAUAGUUGAUAAA